rnacentral:rRNA from 1 species
UACGUAGGGUGCAAGCGUUAAUCGGAAUUACUGGGCGUAAAGCGUGCGCAGGCGGUUUUGUAAGUUUUGUCGUGAAAUCCCCGGGCUCAACCUGGGAAUUGCGAUGAAGACUGCAAGGCUAGAAUCUGGCAGAGGGGGGGUAGAAUUCCACGUGUAGCAGUGAAAUGCGUAGAGAUGUGGAGGAACACCGAUGGCGAAGGC